GCAGUCGAACGCUUCUUUUUCCCCGGAGCUUGCUCCACCGGAAAAAGAAGAGUGGCGAACGGGUGAGUAACACGUGGGUAACCUGCCCAUCAGAAGGGGAUAACACUUGGAAACAGGUGCUAAUACCGUAUAACAAUCGAAACCGCAUGGUUUUGAUUUGAAAGGCGCUUUCGGGUGUCGCUGAUGGAUGGACCCGCGGUGCAUUAGCUAGUUGGUGAGGUAACGGCUCACCAAGGCCACGAUGCAUAGCCGACCUGAGAGGGUGAUCGGCCACAUUGGGACUGAGACACGGCCCAAACUCCUACGGGAGGCAGCAGUAGGGAAUCUUCGGCAAUGGACGAAAGUCUGACCGAGCAACGCCGCGUGAGUGAAGAAGGUUUUCGGAUCGUAAAACUCUGUUGUUAGAGAAGAACAAGGAUGAGAGUAACUGUUCAUCCCUUGACGGUAUCUAACCAGAAAGCCACGGCUAACUACGUGCCAGCAGCCGCGGUAAUACGUAGGUGGCAAGCGUUGUCCGGAUUUAUUGGGCGUAAAGCGAGCGCAGGCGGUUUCUUAAGUCUGAUGUGAAAGCCCCCGGCUCAACCGGGGAGGGUCAUUGGAAACUGGGAGACUUGAGUGCAGAAGAGGAGAGUGGAAUUCCAUGUGUAGCGGUGAAAUGCGUAGAUAUAUGGAGGAACACCAGUGGCGAAGGCGGCUCUCUGGUCUGUAACUGACGCUGAGGCUCGAAAGCGUGGGGAGCAAACAGGAUUAGAUACCCUGGUAGUCCACGCCGUAAACGAUGAGUGCUAAGUGUUGGAGGGUUUCCGCCCUUCAGUGCUGCAGCUAACGCAUUAAGCACUCCGCCUGGGGAGUACGACCGCAAGGUUGAAACUCAAAGGAAUUGACGGGGGCCCGCACAAGCGGUGGAGCAUGUGGUUUAAUUCGAAGCAACGCGAAGAACCUUACCAGGUCUUGACAUCCUUUGACCACUCUAGAGAUAGAGCUUCCCCUUCGGGGGCAAAGUGACAGGUGGUGCAUGGUUGUCGUCAGCUCGUGUCGUGAGAUGUUGGGUUAAGUCCCGCAACGAGCGCAACCCUUAUUGUUAGUUGCCAUCAUUCAGUUGGGCACUCUAGCAAGACUGCCGGUGACAAACCGGAGGAAGGUGGGGAUGACGUCAAAUCAUCAUGCCCCUUAUGACCUGGGCUACACACGUGCUACAAUGGGAAGUACAACGAGUCGCGAAGUCGCGAGGCUAAGCUAAUCUCUUAAAGCUUCUCUCAGUUCGGAUUGCAGGCUGCAACUCGCCUGCAUGAAGCCGGAAUCGCUAGUAAUCGCGGAUCAGCACGCCGCGGUGAAUACGUUCCCGGGCCUUGUACACACCGCCCGUCACACCACGAGAGUUUGUAACACCCGAAGUCGGUGAGGUAACCUUUGGAGCCAGCCG
rnacentral:rRNA from 1 species